rnacentral:rRNA from 1 species
CCUACGGGAGGCAGCAGUGGGGAAUAUUGCACAAUGGGGGAAACCCUGAUGCAGCGACGCCGCGUGGAGGAAGAAGGUCUUCGGAUUGUAAACUCCUGUUGUUGGGGAAGAUAAUGACGGUACCCAACAAGGAAGUGACGGCUAACUACGUGCCAGCAGCCGCGGUAAAACGUAGGUCACAAGCGUUGUCCGGAAUUACUGGGUGUAAAGGGAGCGCAGGCGGGAAGACAAGUUGGAAGUGAAAUCUAUGGGCUCAACCCAUAAACUGCUUUCAAAACUGUUUUUCUUGAGUAGUGCAGAGGUAGGCGGAAUUCCCGGUGUAGCGGUGGAAUGCGUAGAUAUCGGGAGGAACACCAGUGGCGAAGGCGGCCUACUGGGCACCAACUGACGCUGAGGCUCGAAAGUGUGGGUAGCAAACAGGAUUAGAUACCCGUGUAGUC